AAUUAUUGGGCGUAAAGAGCUCGUAGGCGGUUUGUCGCGUCUGUCGUGAAAGUCCGGGGCUUAACCCCGGAUCUGCGGUGGGUACGGGCAGACUAGAGUGCAGUAGGGGAGACUGGAAUUCCUGGUGUAGCGGUGGAAUGCGCAGAUAUCAGGAGGAACACCGAUGGCGAAGGCAGGUCUCUGGGCUGUAACUGACGCUGAGGAGCGAAAGCAUGGGGAGCGAACAGGAUUAGAUACCCUGGUAGUCCAUGCCGUAAACGUUGGGCACUAGGUGUGGGGACCAUUCCACGGUUUCCGCGCCGCAGCUAACGCAUUAAGUGCCCCGCCUGGGGAGUACGGCCGCAAGGCUAAAACUCAAAGGAAUUGACGGGGGCCCGCACAAGCGGCGGAGCAUGCGGAUUAAUUCGAUGCAACGCGAAGAACCUUACCAAGGCUUGACAUGUUCCCGAUCGCCGUAGAGAUACGGUUUCCCCUUUGGGGCGGGUUCACAGGUGGUGCAUGGUUGUCGUCAGCUCGUGUCGUGAGAUGUUGGGUUAAGUCCCGCAACGAGCGCAACCCUCGUUCCAUGUUGCCAGCACGUAAUGGUGGGGACUCAUGGGAGACUGCCGGGGUCAACUCGGAGGAAGGUGAGGACGACGUCAAAUCAUCAUGCCCCUUAUGUCUUGGGCUUCACGCAUGCUACAAUGGCCGGUACAAUGGGUUGCGAUACUGUGAGGUGGAGCUAAUCCCAAAAAGCCGGUCUCAGUUCGGAUUGGGGUCUGCAACUCGACCCCAUGAAGUCGGAGUCGCUAGUAAUCGCAGAUCAGCAACGCUGCGGUGAAUACGUUCCCGGGCCUUGUACACACCGCCCGUCAAGUCACGAAAGUUGGUAACACCCGAAGCCGGUGGCCUAAC
rnacentral:rRNA from 1 species